rnacentral:lncRNA from 1 species
GACUUAUAAGCAUGUAAGUAUGCUUGCUAUGUUACAAGACCCAUUUUAUAGAUGAAAAGACUGAGGCUUAAAGACAUUAAGAAAUUUGCAUAAAGCCACACUGCUGGUAAAUAAUGAAGCUGAGAUUUCAGUCUAAGUUGGUCUGACUCCAUAUUUCUGUACAAUCCUCACUCUCUGUGUGUGUGAUGGAAUUAUAGAAUUAUAGACUCUUCAAAGUUGUUUGGUGUAGGUUGCACUAGGUGUAUGACAGAUAUUCCAAAAUGUGUUGAUUGCCUUCCUUCGCCAUCAGAACUGGAAGGAAAUAUAGACAUCACCUGGUUCAUUUUACAGUAUGACUUCUGAAGCCAGAGAAGGAAAAUAACUUGCUCAGGGAAACACAGCUAGAGCUACAGUCAAGUUAGUCCUAAAGACCAAGCCAGGGCUGAUUAGCACGGAUCUGCUAACUCCCUAUCCAGUGUCCAGUUCAUUCUACUGCACUGCCACGUGUCUCUGUCAUCUGUUUUUAUCACUCUGAAAUUGUUGCCUACUCUGGCUAUUGUAAUAACUCAGUUGUAGCCCUAAUCCUGCUGUUCCCCUACUGAGAUUUAGUCGCAGUCAAAAGAAAGAACUCUGAACCCCACUCAGAGUUCUCAAUGACUAUGCAGGGCAAGGUUCAGAAUCAGAUAAACACACAUCUGUUUGAUAUGGAAACAUAAUGCACUUGGCUUUGGAGCCAGCAUCCUGUAUUUCCUUGAGUCUCACAUAUACAAAGUAACUACAAGGUGGGAUAUUUGCUCUUACCUCCCCCAUUAGGAGGAGAAGAGGUAAAGAGAGGAAAAAGGUGGCUCAGGAAUGUCAUGAAAUCUCUGUCCUAGUGUGUAUUUUACUAUGGGGUUCCAGAUGAAUCCAAUAAAAGGAAGUGCACAUGCCCUGUCCUGAACGUACACACGCGUGCACGCGCGUGCCCAUACACACACACAUAUACACACCAACUUAUGAUCGUGAAGCACUACACAGAUUAGUUACAGGAGCAUUAGCUCAAGAAAGAGAAAAAAUAUUUUUUAAAGCACUGUAGAGAUGAGAAACACUUUCAAAUAUACCAUCAUUUAUUCUUCUUGAUAAUUCAAUGAGGGAAGUAAUCUUACCAAACUGUUUUAACAGAUACGGGAACCAAGGCUCAGAGAAUUUAAGCAACAUUCCCAACAUCACACAGCUAGGAAGAGGAGAGCCUGACUCUCUACAUGGUUAUUUGGCCUCCAGACCCCUCCCUUCUGCCUGUACCAUGCUGUGAGGCACCUGCACUGGGCCUCCCACUCAGAAUUCUGGGCUUCUGGAAGCUACUGAGAGGUGCUUGUUCACUCCAGCCUCUUCUGUGUACUACAUUGCUUUUAUGUAUGGUGCACAGUUGGGGUAAACAUUUCCAGGCUACACUUACAAGUGUAGUCUGGGACUUUACACAUAUUUGUGGCCCAAAUAGUUACUGAGAGUGAAGUUUUCAACAGGUCUGAAUGGGAAUCUCUUUGGCAUUUCCUGAGUAAACCUGUGAUUUGGAAGCUUGCCUCUGAAGGGCAUUGGAUAAAUGAAGCAAAUGGUUAUCUCUGGUAAUUUUCAUGGUUUAGUCUUCCAUGAAGACUGAGGUCUUCCUUGUCUCUUGUACUCCUGUGGCACCCCAAAUCAAGUGAGGCAGCCCGAGGUCUGUUUCAACAGCAGCUGGAAAAGGUGGUCUUCUGUGUGGCGUGAAUGAAACAGUUUCCUGCCCUAUAAAGGUUCCCCUUCCAUUUCAGUUUAGUCCAACAAACAUUUACCAAGCACCUACUGUAUACCAAAAGGCACUAGGGACACAAAGAUGAAUAGGAAGCCCCCAGGUUAAUUGAGAGGCUGUGCAAGUCAGAGUCAUCUCCUACAGAGCAGUACUUCUAACAUUCAGAAGCAGGUAAGAGGUGGCAAAGAAAAGGCUGCCAUUCGCUUUGUCAGGGAGGAGAAUAGCUAGAGAAAAGGGAAUGAGAUGAAGAAGGCUCUCGGAAGAAAAGUCCUUCUAAGCAACCCUGAAGGAUGAAGAAAAGUUUGCCAGGCAGCAAAAGCAAAGAAAGCCAUCCCAGGAAGCGGAAGUGGAAGAAGCGGAAGUGGAAGAAGCGGCUCUGUCCAAAGUCGCAGAGGGUGAAACGGGGCUUUCUCUUCCUGUUCAGGAUCUACCAGCAAUUUGGGACUGCUGCUGUAGGGGAGGGAGAGGACAGGCGGGUGAGCAGGCAGGGGCCCAUGGCAGAAGACAAAAGAGUUCAGAAGGGACUCUGAGGGCAUGGUGGAACUAAAGUAAAGGGGAGCGAUUGCAGUGAGAUUUUAGUUUUAGUUCAGUUAUCCUAACAGCCCUGUGGAAUAUGGAUUUGAAGAGAGCAUGACUGUAGCGAGGGUAGCCGGUUAAAAAGCUAUUUACCGCAAUUGCCUAAGUAAGAACUCAAGAAGAUGAGCCUAAGGCCCAAACAGCGCAGACUGGAGAGCUUUUAGAAUAUAAAAUGUAUUUCCACCCCUAAAGGUUUCUCUUUUUUAACAAAGGGCUGUUUAUUUCAGGAAUUGUCUGUUGAAUGCUUCCAGGACCAGAACUAGCACAGAAAAAAAUCUGAAGGUCCCUAAGCCAAACUGCUAAUCACAGAUGCAGCAGAGAGCAUUUGGGGUUCUAGAAGGACUUUUGGGAGGUCUUCAAGCAACACAAUGCUCAACAGCAUACAUAAAACACUGUCCUGAUCUGCCUGGUGGAAAUCCAUGGCCCUGGAAGAUGAGGGUUCCAGAAGUUACCGGAACAGAGCAGAUGGCAGCUGCUACAUCCCUCCAGGGACCAAGGGACCAAGAAGAGACCAGCAUGGAUCCCAAAGGACUCCCUAGGACAGAAGUCAUGCUACUAGCCCAGCCCUCCAGGAGAGAUGACACCUAAAGUAUGUCAGCUAGACAGCUGUCUUUCUUGUUUUUUCUCACCCUCAACUGUUACCAUAAAUGUUGGGCUG